rnacentral:rRNA from 1 species
UACGGAGGGUGCAAGCGUUAUCCGGAUUCACUGGGUUUAAAGGGUGCGUAGGUGGGCUGGUAAGUCAGUGGUGAAAUCUCCAGGCUUAACUUGGAAACUGCCAUUGAUACUAUCAGUCUUGAAUACCGUGGAGGUCAGCGGAAUAUGUCAUGUAGCGGUGAAAUGCUUAGAUAUGACAUAGAACACCAAUUGCGAAGGCAGCUUGCUACACGAAUAUUGACACUGAUGCACGAAAGCGUGGGGAUCAAACAGG